AAGUCGUAACAAGGUAACCGUAGGUGAACCUGCGGUUGGAUCAUUAAAAAUGAACAAUUGCCUCUCAUUGUUUGUACUACACAAUGAAUGUUGGCCACACAUCUUGUGCACUGUAUCGUCUUUGGUGGUGGGAUGGCAGCUGUUCACAGCAGUGCGCCAUCUGUCAGCUCGAAUCGAAUGGUUCGCGGCCGUGGACAAGCCACCGCAUGUUUCUAAACACUUGCUUUUGUUUUUUGGACUUACAUUUUUAUUGUAUGAAAUUACAAACAACUUUUGGCAACGGAUCUCUUGGUUCUC
rnacentral:misc_RNA from 1 species